rnacentral:rRNA from 1 species
GAAUAUUGGACAAUAGGGGGAACCCUGAUCCAGCCAUGCCGCGUGUGUGAAGAAGGCCUUUUGGUUGUAAAGCACUUUAAGCGAGGAGGAGGAUACUUAGAUUAAUACUCUAGGAUAGUGGACGUUACUCGCAGAAGAAGCACCGGCAAACUCUGUGACAGCCGCCGCGGUAAUACAGGGGGUGCAAGCGUUAAGCGGAUUUACUGGGCGUAAAGCGCGCGUAGGUGGCCAAUUAAGUCAGAUGUGAAAUCCCCGAGCUUAACUUGGGAAUUGCAUUCGAUACUGGUUGGCUAGAGUAUGGGAGAGGAUGGUAGAAUUCCAGGUGUAGCGGUGAAAUGCGUAGAGAUCUGGAGGAAUACCGAUGGCGAAGGCAGCCAUCUGGCCUAAUACUGACACUGAGGUGCGAAAGCAUGGGGAGCAAACA